AUUGAACGCUGGCGGCAUGCCUUACACAUGCAAGUCGAACGGCAGCACGGGAGCUUGCUCCUGGUGGCGAGUGGCCGAACGGGUGAGUAAUACAUCGGGAACGUACCCUGAAGUGGGGGAUAACGUAGCGAAAGUUACGCUAAUACCGCAUAUUCUGUGAGCAGGAAAGAGGGGGAUACGCAAGACCUCUUGCUUUAGGAGCGGCCGAUGUCGGAUUAGCUAGUUGGUGAGGUAAGGCUCACCGAAGGCGACGAUCCGUAGCGGGUCUGAGAGGAUGAUCCGCCACACUGGGACUGAGACACGGCCCAGACUCCUACGGGAGGCAGCAGUGGGGAAUUUGGACAAUGGGCGCAAGCCUGAUCCAGCC
rnacentral:rRNA from 1 species